UUCCUUCCUUCCUUGUCAUUAUUUAGAUUCAGGGCCAUAAUCAAUGUUAAUUGCAUAUAUUUGUUUCGGAUAAUUGUUUGAAUAACUCUUUAUCAUAAAACAAACGUUCCCUGUAACUGGUUAUGAUAGAAAUGGGAAUGAGGAAUGCAGACCAAUGAUUUUAAAGGAGUACACUGUAUUGGGUUUCACCUCUCACUUUCAACUCCUAGAACUUGGUUAUUGGAACUAAGAGCAAGAUCUACUCACGUGAACACCAGUCCUCGAAAGAAAAUGGAGAAAUAGCGUCCUGGGAUACAUCAAAAUCAGUUGUUACUGCAGCCCAAGGAUUUGUAAUAAAGCAGUAGAUAUUCUACAGAUAUUUAGCAAUUUUCCUCCUGUAGAGUCGAAAUAUUUUACGACUACGACACGCGGGCCCGGGCCCUGCGGGGGGACGGGCGCCACCGGGUGGAUUACCGAGGUACAGCCUCCGAGCGUGACCCGAGUCAGGCGCUGCAGCACGGAAUAUUCUCCGUCGGAAGCGACCCGCAGGGAUCAUCGAGCCCUUACGCACUUACGUCUACACAAUCUUUACAUUGGACUCCUGUACCCAAGGGUUAGAAUUCGGCCUUUAAAAACAUUAUGGCCUUUUGCUGAGACCACUGUCCAUCCAAUGGAAAAAUAUGCUUUCAUAGACUCCUGUGCUGUUUACUCACUACUUUGCCUGAUAUUGGGGUUUAAGACCAUCUUUGAUUUUCCUUCUAUGUUGGAGCUGCAGUUAUCUCAAAAAUAUCCUAUGGGUCGUUACAGUUUAUAUAUGCUUCAUGCUACAGAUAAUAUGUGAAAGUAUUAUGAAGGCAUUGGCUAAAACAUGAUGGAUCACACAGGAAGCAUCAAUAAGGCAAAACAUACAGUUUUCUGGGUUCUUUUUCAACAGAAAACUAUAUGUCUUAGGGAAGAAAAUAUAAUAUAUCAGCAAAAGAAAAGUGUGAUUUCAAACAAUUUUUCUAUCCAGAUUUUGGAUGAGGCCUUCAUUUAUGCACAUUAAGAUUCCAAAUAGGUCCUUAAAUUUUAAAAAAUGUCUUGGAUGUGAAAAUGAUAUAUAAAAAUUAUCUUUUCAUCCAGAAGAGCAGUUUUUUUCUGUGAAAAAACCUAAUUUUUCAUGUGUGAAUAUGUAUAAUUAUUAGUAUAAAGGCAAUGGUGUUUUAAAAGAUAUAAUACUAUUCGCUGGUUUCAUGAAUAUUGAAUGAUUUUCAACCUUUUCCUAUGUAACAGCUUACAAUGACAGAACCCACCCUCCUUAUUUUCUUGUAUACACAGCCUAGCCAAUAAUGUAAGGAUGUUUCAUAAAAGAUAGGGAGUUUUCCUAGAAGGAGACUGAACUUGAUUUUUACCUCUCCUAAGUAGGGAUCAGUUGAUCACAAAGAGAUGCAGUUCUUAUAUUAUGCAGCAAAUUCCUCUUACAGAUUCAAUUAUGUAAGAAUGAUCUGGCAGUCCUGUGUUUAGCCUAAUGAUGUGUUUCCUGAGUUUCCGACUGAGUAUUUGCAUUUGUGUUCUUCAUUUACUUCCUGUAUAGGGGCAUCAAUGGCUGUUACACUUCCUGGCCUGUGGCUGCUGGUUGGCAGCAGCUCAGCAGGAGCCAGAUGGUGACCCAAGGAGGUGUCCCUCUGAGCUCACCACGGGUGCGGCCUCACCAUGCGGUCCAUGUGCAGCACUGGGCCCCAGCGCUGGAGAAUUACAUGAAGGUCCUCGGAUGCCACUGGAGGAGGCAGCCGAGCUGGUGAGGGGCUGGAAACCAUGUCCUGGGAGAAGCAGCUGAGGGCUCUGGGCCUGUCUGGUUAUGAGAGAAGGCGGCCGAGAGGCAACCUCUGGGCCUUUUACCAGUUCCUGAGCAAUGGACAUGGAGAGGCAGGUGCUGUACUCUUCUCCCUGGGAUCCAGGGACAGGACGUGUGGAAAUGGCUCAAAGCUGCACCAGGAAACGUUCAGACUAGACAUGAGGGAACAUUUCUUUACCAGGAGGGUGGUCAUAUGCUGAAACAGGUCUCCUGGAGAGGGAGUUGAUGUCCCAAGUAUUGAAGAGGCAUUUGGACAGUGACCUUAAAAACAAACUUUGACUUUUGGUCAGCCCUUGAGAAGUCAUGCAGCUGUACUAGAUGAUUCUUGUAGGUUUCUUCCAACUGAAAUAAUCCAUUCUAUUUGAAACCUUUUGGCUGAGUACAAUAUCCUUGUUUUAAAAUGUCCAUUCUUUUUGUUUUUCAUAAGUAAAUUAGAUGGCUAUUAAUUAGAACUAAGAUUCAGUGCAUUUAUACAAAACAAUUAGGACUACAUACGUUUAAAUAAAGCAAUUAUAGCAAUUAUUUGCAGUUAAGCAAUAAAUUGAUUUCUAGUUUUGCAUGGAUCUCAUUGGGAACAAGAAAUCCAGCAUACAUUAUACAAGCAACCUGACUGUAGGCUUCUCAGUAUUGGCAAAAUAACAAAAUUACUGUACUUAGUUCAGAAGAGUGGCACUUCUCAAGAUAAUCAACGAGUAAAAACAAAGCUACAUUUCCAAACCAGUGAAAAUAGAUAUUCCCUAUCGGUUUCCAGAGAAAAUGGUAUGUUUUCAAUAAAGUAUAAAAUACACAUUUUAAUAUGUGUCAGUGGUGUCCAAGCCCAAGUUCUUGCAAACUUGGGAACAUAGUGCAGGUACAACCAGUAUCUUCAUAUUAAUUUUAUUUUUUGCUUCUUUUAACACUUUGUAUUACAAAUAUUUAUGAGUACGCUAACUAGUAUGGUUUGUGAGAAGAUCCAUAAUCCCUGCAGCAUAUCAGAGCUGUUGCUUGAUAAUCAGUCUAGAGAGCUAAGAAAGAAUGUCACAGGCUGUCUUAUAAAGGAUGUCAGUAAUAUUUGUAAGUAUAAUAUUAGUCAGUUACGUAUACAAAGCUUAUUUACUUGAGUGAAGUCUGCAGAACCACCUCCAAGAUAUCAGUAAUCACACCAGCAGCAGAUACUAGACGCAAUAUUAGUUUUACUAGAAUCUGAAGAGAUGCCGGUGCCUGCACAGGUGUCCUGGUUUAACCUGGACAGAGUUCAUUUUCUUCUCAGUUGCUGGUCCAGUGACUGCUGUGUUUUGGAUUCAGUAUGAGAAUAAUAUUGAUGUUUUGAUGCUUUUGGCUGUUGCUCAGCAGUGUUUAUCCUAAGUCAAGGACUCUUCCAUUUCCUGUGCUCUGUCAGCAAGGAGGUGCACAAGAAGCUGUGGAGAAGCAUUCCGCGACAGCAGAUCUGAACUGGCCAAAGGGAUACUCCAUACCACAGCAUAACAGGACGUGACAUGCCAUGUUAAUAUGUAUGAACUACAGGUUCUGUAAAUGUUUAUAACUAAAAAUUCAGUUUACAGAUUCUAAAUGUGAACUUAUAUGAAAGUACUCCAGUGACAAAGGGGCAACUUCCUAGGAAAAAAAAUUACAUUGUAUCCUUUCCCUGCUGCUGAGCUGAAGCAAGAAAAAUGCUUAUCUUCAGUUCUUUACUCCAACACUUCUCUGUGUCUGAAUUUCGAACCCAUUUGUAUGCUGGUCUUUGUUAGGAGCAGUAAAUUCUUCUCUGUUGCCAAGAAAACCUUAUUUUGCAGUGAUGUGUCUACUUUCUUGCAUUGAACAUGCCUCCUGUACAUAAAAGAAGUUGGAAAUACUGAAAAGAAUUGUCUCUGGAGAUCAUGAUCUCUGACCUUUAUCUGCAUUUAACAACAGCUUAAAUUCCACAUUUUGUUCAGCAUAAGAUCCACACAAAGGUCUUCUAAAUAGGCUUUACCAGCUGCUAUUCAGAGCUGGUCCCAUUGUAAAAGCCUUUUCCCCCACAGUUCAUUGUUUUAGAAGUAAAACGUUACUGGUUGUAUUUUUAGAAUUUUUUUACCCUUUGCAUCUUUAAUGAGAAGUGAACAUGCUAAGAGUCUGCCAUGCAUUUUCUUUCUAUGACUUUCUGACAAACACAGCUAAACCAUCAGUCAAAACACUAAAGGUUUUUAUGUUAAUAAUAAUUUGAAUAGUGGUUUGAAAAAUGCAGUUGUUCCACUAACAUUUUAGUUCCCAUCUACUCAACAAACAUAUACAAAGAAAGCAGAUACUUCUAGCUGUGAUAAUUUCUUGUUUUUACAGCUUGUGGCCAAAUCUCCUUUGGCUAUUUUUGGAAGCAAUAGAUUUGUUAGUAGUCUCAAGCUCUGAGAAUGGAAAGGUUAAGAAGUGCUACUUAACUAUACUAAGAAUCUGAAUUAAAAUGUAAGAUCUAAGUUUUCUUAUUCUAAAUGUGAUGUUAUAUAUUUGUUAGUUAGGCUGUACAGUUUGGAUAAAACCAAUUCAUUAUUUUUUUUG